CGCUGUCACUCCUACGGGAGGCAGCAGUGGGGAAUAUUGGACAAUGGGCGCAAGCCUGAUCCAGCCAUGCCGCGUGAGUGAUGAAGGCCCUAGGGUUGUAAAGCUCUUUUGUGCGGGAAGAUAAUGACGGUACCGCAAGAAUAAGCCCCGGCUAACUUCGUGCCAGCAGCCGCGGUAAUACGAAGGGGGCUAGCGUUGCUCGGAAUCACUGGGCGUAAAGGGUGCGUAGGCGGGUCUUUAAGUCAGGGGUGAAAUCCUGGAGCUCAACUCCAGAACUGCCUUUGAUACUGAAGAUCUUGAGUUCGGGAGAGGUGAGUGGAACUGCGAGUGUAGAGGUGAAAUUCGUAGAUAUUCGCAAGAACACCAGUGGCGAAGGCGGCUCACUGGCCCGAUACUGACGCUGAGGCACGAAAGCGUGGGGAGCAAACAGGAUUAGAUACCCUGGUAG
rnacentral:rRNA from 1 species